rnacentral:rRNA from 1 species
UACGGAGGGUGCGAGCGUUGUCCGGAAUCACUGGGCGUAAAGGGCGCGUAGGUGGAGCGGUAAGUCAACGGUGAAAGCUUGGGGCUCAACCCCGAGUCGGCCGUCGAUACUUCUGGGCUUGAGCACUGUAGAGGCAGGUGGAAUUCCGGGUGUAGCGGUGGAAUGCGUAGAGAUCCGGAAGAACACCGGUGGCGAAGGCGGCCUGCUGGGCAGAUACUGACGCUGAGGUGCGAAAGCGUGGGGAGCAAACAGG